UACGAAGGGGGCUAGCGUUGCUCGGAAUCACUGGGCGUAAAGGGUGCGUAGGCGGGUCGUUAAGUCGGAUGUGAAAGCCCUCGGCUCAACUGAGGAAGUGCACCCGAAACUGGCGAGCUUGAGUACGAAAGAGGAUCGCGGAAUUCUCGGUGUAGAGGUGAAAUUCGUAGAUAUCGAGAGGAACACCGGUGGCGAAGGCGGCUUUCUGGACGAUUACUGACGCUGAGACGCGAAAGCGUGGGGAGCAAACAGG
rnacentral:rRNA from 1 species